rnacentral:lncRNA from 1 species
AUGCUGCUCAAGAGCCGUAAGAAAGUGUCCAACCUGCGCUUCCGCUGCAUCGUAGAGCCUGUGAAGGUGACCGUGAAAAUGGGGAAACUGCAUGAGCCCAAGGUCUGCUGUCCCCAGGCUGGGAGAAAGACUAAGGCCUACUAUUUGGGGGAAUGGUCAACCCAUCAAGGCACGGGGGAGAAGAAAGCCAGUUGGUACAGGAGUCAGCAGCACCAUCGGAGCAGCCAGUGCAGUUCCAACCUCUCAGAUGCUGAAACCCCCCAGCCAGCAUGUCCUGCUGGAUCAGUCGCUUCAUGGGUGCGUUACAGCUUUAGUCCCCCAGAACGUGCAGCUGAAGGAGGGAGCAGCUCAGCCCGCUAUGGGCUCCAUGCACGUAAUCACCAAAGAGCCACAGGUGAUAAGCAAAAUGGCCUGGAGAUACCAAGAGAGGGCCCAGAAGGACGGCGAUUCCUGCAGCAUUCUGUCGGCAUGAACACAGAGGAACCUGCUGCUCCCUGUUCAGAACAUCCCCACGAGCACUUCAACCCUCCGUCGAGCAAGACAAAUUUCAUUCCUAGCCCAAUCUUACCAGGCCCCAGGCAGGUAGUGUAUUCAGCCCUGGCAUCAGAAACAAUAUCCCGAACCCAUCUCAAUGGUGAGGAUUAUGCCUAUCCACAUUCCCCAAGGGGCCCCCAGCAUCGCCUUGGGCUAGAGUGGCGCCAACAUCUGCCAGCGGCGCAGCAAGCUGAAGUAUAUGUCUAUUUGAUCAGUCCACCAUUGCCCAGCCCAGAACACAAUCCUGAGCAACCCAACCAUCCCUUUGCAGCAUCUGGCAAGGAUACGCUAGCAAACAGGAUGUCACUUAGCCAGAGCAGAGGCAGUUCUAGCCAGGGUCCAGGAGGCCAGGGCAGCAGUGGCAUACACAAGCAACGCAAGAGCAUCUGGGAGAGAAAGCACCAGAGAAAAUCCUUGCAGCCAAAUUCAGACUAUGAAAAGCUGGCUGGAAGCAGUGGCGGUGCCAGCCUGGGUCAUCAUGAACCAUUUUCCCACAAUCCACCUCUCUCAGCAGACAGGGGAAGGGGACUCCUCAACGCAACACCACCCACCAUUGCCAGUUGA